UUUUUUUUCUUCAUUCAACUCUCCUUUUCCCCUGAGUGAUCAGAAAGAGCAUGUGUGUGUGUCAAAUCAUCCUGGUUUCAGUUUUCUUUGCCUGUUCUUUUCCUCUGUCCAUUUUGCUGGUCGUCAUAGUUACAGUGACCUCGGUCGUCCUCGUCUUUCAGGGUCUUGCAAGGAUUUUUUAAGCUUUCACUUGUAACAGCACUUUGCAAUGCCCACUUUUCUAAUUCUUUAACUGUUACUUCAUUUCUUAAUCCAUUUGUCCCAGCAGUCUUCCCCUUUUCUGUGCUGUGUCCUGAUAUACUCCUCAGAGCAGGCUGGAAUUGCUCAGUUUCCAUCUUCACCCCAGUAUCAGUUUCCUUCUGAUAAGACUUCCCACCUUUAAUCUUUCCCUUCUUAACCUGUGUGUAUCAUUAUACUUUGGCCUUGUCUUUGGCUAGCUUUAAAGUGACAUUUUUAUAUGUCUUUUAAAAUAAGUUAGACUAGACACGCAGGAGUAUAGUAGCUCAAGGAGAUUUUGCCUGCUUUUUUAAUUUUUUUUAUUUCAGUUACUUUCUCUGACUUCUGGUUAUGAAGGACUCUGACCAAGACAGCUUCUGCUGUACUAGACAGGGCCAAGGUCAGCCUUAAAACCACAGAAACAUGAGAUGGCCCUUGGCUUCUCCUCAACACUUAAUAGGCUAUAGCAGAGGGGCUCCUAUCAUCUCUCCCAGUCAGGCUACUAAUCCUACAGCUGCUGCUGUAAAGGGACUAAUCACAGGCAGGAAAGGACAAGCAAGGUACUGAGAGCCCAUGAAAACCUCAUGAUUUUCAAGAGGCCAGUGAAGGGUUCAUGUGGCUCAGAGCAACUCCACAUACAACGCAGACUGGAUGGAGAGCAGAUGGAGAGUAGCCCUGCUGAGAUGAUUUGGGGGUGUUGAUUAACGAGAGGCUGGGCCCAGCACUCCCAGCCCAGAGCUGUCUCCGUUGUCUCCUGGGUUGCACCCAAAGCAGCGUUGCCAGCAGGCCAGAGAAGGCACUCUGCCCCUCUGCUCUGCUCUGCUGUGGUGAGACCUCACCUGCAGUGCUGCAUCCAGCUCGGGGGCCCUCGGUAUAAAGAGUGUGUGCCCAUUGGAGUCAGUCCAGAGGAGGCCACAAAGGUGAUGCAAGGCCUGGAGCACCUCAGGCUAAGAGACCUUGUUCAGCUGGCAGAAGAGAAGGUUCCACCUUGUAGCUCCUUCCAGUACCUGAAGAGGACCUUUAAAAAACCUGAAAGGGAUUCUUUAAAACGAGCAUGAGAAAAGCUCAGAGAAGGCUGGUGGUACAAGGUCCUUCCAGCACGUUUUGUUGCUAAUAUUUCUGCUUCCAAUAAACACCUUAUUUGAGAUCAAUAACAAAGAAAAAGGUUUCCACCAUUUAAAAUUACAUAUCAGCCAUGAAAGAAAGAACAAAUGUAACUCUGGAAAACAUGAAUUCCUUGUUUGAUGGCCUGUCAUUUUGUUGAAGAAAAUGACAGCACCUACCAAGGAAAAAUUCCAGUAUGAAGCCUGUUUUCAAUGAAGAGAUGGAGACUGACAUUUGCUGCAGAGAUGACUGAGAAGUUCUGUAGGCAGCUUCAGAAAUUUAGCUACUGUGUUGGCAAGGAAGGCCACCAGGAUGUCUUCUGUUUGAAGCUGCCAGAAGCUUCCUGCAUGUCCAACAGAUCCAGAGCUGGCUCCAGGACUGAUCCCCACACUGGCCAUGGACAAGCCCAGCAGUGACAAUGGGAGAACCUCUGGGAUAACAUGGUUAAACAAGAGAAAAGGUUACAGCACAGAAGCAAUUGCAGCCAGUGAAGAGAGGGGUGAGAAUAUGUGGGAGGAACAACUCUGCAGGCAGCAAGGUGAGUGAAGAAGCAGGGGGGGAAGGAGCUCCAGGUGCCAAAGCAGGGAUUCACUUGCAGCCCACGGGGAGGGCAUGGUGAGGCAGCUGUGCCCUUGCGGUCCAUGGAGGUGUGUGGGGUGGCAGGUGGGUGACCAACAGUGGCCUCGUGUGAAACCUGCCCUGGAACAGGCUCCUGGCAGGACCUGUGGC